ACUCUUCAUUCAGUGGCGGACGGGUGAGUAAUGCAUCGGAACGUAUCCCGUAGUGGGGGACAACCCAGCGAAAGCUGGGCUAAUACCGCAUAUGCUCUACGGAGGAAAGUGGGGGACCCGCAAGGGCCUCACGCUAUGGGAGCGGCCGAUGUCCGAUUAGCUAGUUGGUGGGGUAAAGGCCUACCAAGGCGACGAUCGGUAGCUGGUCUGAGAGGAUGAUCAGCCUCACUGGGACUGAGACACGGCCCAGACUCCUACGGGAGGCAGCAGUGGGGAAUAUUGGACAAUGGGCGCAAGCCUGAUCCAGCCAUGCCGCGUGGGUGAUGAAGGCCUUAGGG
rnacentral:rRNA from 1 species